rnacentral:rRNA from 1 species
GUGUCAGCAGCCGCGGUAAUACGUAGGGAGCGAGCGUUGUCCGGAUUUAUUGGGCGUAAAGAGCUCGUAGGCGGCUCAGUAAGUCGGGUGUGAAAGCCCCGAGCUCAACUCGGGGAGGCCACCCGAUACUGCUGUGGCUAGAGUCCGGUAGGGGAGCGUGGAAUUCCCGGUGUAGCGGUGAAAUGCGCAGAUAUCGGGAGGAACACCAGCGGCGAAGGCGGCGCUCUGGGCCGGAACUGACGCUGAGGAGCGAAAGCGUGGGGAGCGAACAGGAUUAGAAACCCUGGUAGUCC